rnacentral:rRNA from 1 species
AUACAUAGAUAACAUGCCCUUUAGAGAGGGAUAACUGUUGGAAACGACAGCUAAUACCUCAUAUGCUAUAUAUCAUAAGAUAUAUAGUGAAAAGGUUAAUUCUGCUAAAGGAUUGGUCUAUGACCUAUUAGUUAGUUGGUGAGGUAAAGGCUCACCAAGACAAUGACGGGUAGCUGGUUUGAGAGGAUGAACAGCCACACCGGAACUGAGACACGGUCCGGACUCCUACGGGAGGCAGCAGUAGGGAAUAUUGCACAAUGGGGGAAACCCUGAUGCAGCAACGCCGCGUGGAGGAUGAAGCAUUUCGGUGUGUAAACUCCUUUUAACAAGGAAGAAAUUGACGGUACUUGUUGAAUAAGCACCGGCUAACUCCGUGCCAGCAGCCGCGGUAAUACGGAGGGUGCAAGCGUUACUCGGAAUUACUGGGCGUANAGGGUAUGUAGGCGGACUA